UGCUAUUACUUGUUUAUUCCCUCAGCAGCUGUAAUAGGUAUUCAGGGGUGGGGGCAACGAAUUGGUAUUCACUGUUUACUGAUUUCUUUUCCCCAAAGUUUUGAGACCAAAAUAUCCUGCUUUAUUCUCCCCAAAAAGUUAGCUCUAGAUUUCAUAUCCCCAAAUCAAGCAUCGAUUCACCUUCAUCUUCCCAAAGCGACUAACAAACAAUAGAGGGAAUGGAGGUAAUCUUUUUUUUUAGUCAUCAAGCUUCAUCCUCUCCGUCGUUUCCAUUCCAUUGAUUGCAGAGUGUUUAGGAUCUCUGGGGUUUUCACAAUAAUGUACGUUGAUCCGCAACAGCAACAGCAGUAGCAGAACCAGCCGCACCCGCAAGCUGAGGAGUUUCAGAGAGGUCUUCUGCCUCCGCAAAUGAUGCGGCAGCCAUCUGCUUCUUCCACUACUCUUAACUCGGAGUACCACCACCCUGGUGCUCCUCCUCAGAUGCCGCCUUAUAACGCUCAUGGUGACAAUUUUGCUGCGAAAAGAAUGAGAAAGCUGACCCAAAUGAGAGCUGUUGAUUAUACUAGUACUGUUGUGCGAUAUAUGCAGAUUCGAAUGUCACAGUGGGAUUCACGGGACAAGACAACAUUGCAGAUUCGAAUGUUCUAACUUUUUGAUGUUGUAAAACUGUAUAACAUAUGGAUUAUGACAUAGAAUUUCAUUAAUUUCAUGUAACUUUUUGUUAAUAUAUGAAUAUUAUGUUUAUGCAAAAUAUAAUUCUCAAGUUAUUUAUUACUGUUAA